UACGUAGGGUGCGAGCGUUAAUCGGAAUUACUGGGCGUAAAGCGUGCGCAGGCGGUGAUGUAAGACAGAUGUGAAAUCCCCGGGCUCAACCUGGGAACUGCAUUUGUGACUGCAUCGCUGGAGUGCGGCAGAGGGGGAUGGAAUUCCACGUGUAGCAGUGAAAUGCGUAGAGAUGUGGAGGAAUACCGAUGGCGAAGGCAGCCCCCUGGGAUGACACUGACGCUCAUGCACGAAAGCGUGGGGAGCAAACAGG
rnacentral:rRNA from 1 species